rnacentral:lncRNA from 1 species
GAUAAAUUGUAAACAGCAAUAAUGUUCAGCAAAGUAAGAUCUACAAAUAAGUCAACAUGACCAAAAUGGUCAGUUGACCCCUUUAGGAGUUAUUGCCCUUUAUAGUCAAUCUUUAACCAUUUUUCAUAAAUCUAAGUAAUCUUUUACAAAAUCUCCACUGAAACUACUAGGCCACAAUCAUCUUUUGGGUAUCUAGUUUGAAAAAUGUGUCCGAUGACCUGGCCAUUCAACCAAGAUGGCCGCCACGGCUAAAAAUAGAACAUAGGGGUAAAAUGCAGUUUUUGGCUUAUAACUAUGAAUUCAAAGCA